rnacentral:rRNA from 1 species
UACAGAGGGGGCAAGCGUUGUUCGGAAUUACUGGGCGUAAAGGCGCGUAGGCGGCCUGUUAAGUCGAACGUGAAAUCCCCGGCUCAACCCGGGAACUGCGUCCGAUACUGCAGGCUUGAAUCCGGGAGAGGGAUGCGAAUUCCAGGUGUAGCGGUGAAAUGCGUAGAUAUCUGAGGAACACCGAUGGCGAAGGCAGGUCUCUGGGCAUUAACUGACGCUGAGAGCGAAAGCCAGGGGAGCAAAACGGG